rnacentral:rRNA from 1 species
AUUGAACGCUGGCGGCAUGCCUUACACAUGCAAGUCGAACGGUAACAGGUCUUCGGAUGCUGACGAGUGGCGAACGGGUGAGUAAUACAUCGGAACGUGCCUAGUAGUGGGGGAUAACUACUCGAAAGAGUGGCUAAUACCGCAUGAGAUCUACGGAUGAAAGCAGGGGAUCGCAAGACCUUGUGCUACUAGAGCGGCCGAUGGCAGAUUAGGUAGUUGGUGGGAUAAAAGCUUACCAAGCCGACGAUCUGUAGCUGGUCUGAGAGGACGAUCAGCAGAACUGGGACCGAGACACGGCCCAGACUCCUACGGGAGGCAGCCGUGGGGAAUUUUGGACAAUGGGCGCAAGCCUGAUCCAGCAAUGCCGCGUGCAGGAUGAAGGCCUUCGGGUUGUAAACUGCUUUUGUACGGAACGAAAAGCCCUGGGUUAAUACCCUGGGGUCAUGACGGUACCGUAAGAAUAAGCACCGGCUAACUACGUGCCAGCCGCCGCCGUAACAC